rnacentral:rRNA from 1 species
AGAACGAACGCUGGCGGCAGGCUUAACACAUGCAAGUCGAGCGCGUGUAGCAAUACACGAGCGGCGCACGGGUGAGUAACGCGUGGAUAUCUGCCUUUUGGUUCGGAAUAACCCCGGGAAACUGGGGCUAAUACCGGAUGGUUCCUACGGGAUAAAGAUUUAUCGCCAAAAGAUGAGUCCGCGUCCGAUUAGCUAGUUGGUGAGGUAACGGCUCACCAAGGCGACGAUCGGUAGCUGGUCUGAGAGGACGAUCAGCCACACUGGGACUGAGACACGGCCCAGACUCCUACGGGAGGCAGCAGUGGGGAAUAUUGGACAAUGGGGGCAACCCUGAUCCAGCCAUGCCGCGUGAGUGAUGAAGGCCUUCGGGUUGUAAAGCUCUUUUGGCGGGGACGAUGAUGACGGUACCGCAGAAUAAGCCCGGCUAACUUCGCGCCAGCAGCCGC